rnacentral:rRNA from 1 species
GUGGGGAAUCUUGCGCAAUGGGCGAAAGCCUGACGCAGCCAUGUCGCGUGAAUGAUGAAGGUCUUAGGAUUGUAAAAUUCUUUCACCGGGGACGAUAAUGACGGUACCCGGAGAAGAAGCUCCGGCUAACUUCGUGCCAGCAGCCGCGGUAAUACGAAGGGGGCUAGCGUUGCUCGGAAUUACUGGGCGUAAAGGGCGCGUAGGCGGACAGCUUAGUCAGAGGUGAAAGCCCAGGGCUCAACCUUGGAAUUGCCUUUGAUACUGGCUGUCUUGAGUUUGGGAGAGGUGAGUGGAACUCCGAGUGUAGAGGUGAAAUUCGGAGAUAUUCGGAAGAACACCAGUGGCGAAGGCGACUCACUGGCCCAAUACUGACGCUGAGGCGCGAAAGCGUGGGGAGCAAACAGGAUUAGAAACCCUAGUAGUCC